GCGGGCGGCGGCGCUGCUCGGCGGGACGCCGCCCGGGGGAAAAACGCGGCCGGGCGGGUGGCACCGCGCUCCGUCCCCAGCGACAGAACGGGGCCGACUCCCAGGCGGCGCUCCGCAGCCCGGCUCGGAACCAGCCCGCUCCCAACACCUCCCCGCAGCUCCCGGUGCGGCGAGACUUCGCUCCGCGGGAUCGAUAAGCGGUGACACGUGGCACGGGUGGCUUUUCACCGCGCCCCGACCGACGGCCCGGGGCGGCACCGGCACCGCGGCUGCGGGAGAGGUGGAGUCCUCAGGGCAGGAGAGACGGGGAGCUGCUGGAGCGCGGCCAGAGGAGGGACACAGAAAUGGCGGCAGGGAUGGAAGCCCUCCCUGCGAGGACAGGCCGAGAGCUGGGGCUGAGCAGCACGGAGAAGAGAAGGCAAGAGAAGGAGAGCUGAGAGCGGCCCGUCAGCAUCUGAAGGGGCUGUGAGAAGGGAGGGGACGGACUCUGCAGUGGGUCUGUGUGAUGGGAGAAGGGGAGAUGGCUUCAGACCACAAGAGGGGAGAUUGAGGUGGAGUUGAGGAAGCAGGUUUGGCAGUGAGGGCGGUGAGGCGCUGGCACAGGUUGCCCAGAGAGGCGGUGGUGCCCCGUCCCUGCAGACAGCCAAGGUCAGGCUGGACGGGGCUGUGAGCACUGCUGAGCUGUGGGUGUCCCUGUGCGCUGCAGGGAGCGGCACCAGGCGGCCUUCAGCUCCCUUCCACCCAAACCAUGCUGUGAUUCCCCCACAAUCCAUCCCUGCACUCGAGCUAAAACGCAACGCCUCUGCUGGACAAACAUACAGAGACGUGAGCAUUGCUGCUAUUGUGCACUUUAUUUCUCUAGGUCCUCUCACUGAGGGUCUCAAGCACUUUUCAGGCAGUCUGUGCGGUGCUUCCAGUUGAUGGGUGGUGCUGCUGCUGCCAAUGGGUCGAGUGAUUUGCUUGGGGACAGACAGAAGUCCAUAAGGAGCCAGGAGCAGAACACAGCAAACUCCUGAGCUCCUGUUCAGAUGCAAAUGUUGCCUCCGCUGGAAUGACUUUAAGGUUGAUUUUGUAGUGAUGUGCAUUCCCUACACAUUUCAAAGCUAUCAAAAAUAAAUCACAGAGUCAUCAAAAGCAAGCUAAAGUCUCGUCUAGGACCAAAAAAGUCAGUUACCUUCACUUGCAGAACCUUGUUGGAACUUUGGCAUUGUUUUCAAAACAGUGAGUAAAAGGAAAAGAAGUAAAGAAAAAGAACCAAAUCAGACCAGAAAUAAGGACAGAAUAAACAAGCAGUGAGGAGCCGGAUGAGUGUGGCUUCAAACGUCCCAGGAGGGAACACUGCGGAUUGAGUUUGGAAGGUCUCUGCUCUCCCCACCCCGAGCAGCAGCACUGCUCCCAGCAGCACUUCCCACAGCAGAAACAAAACAAGCAACCAACACAGGGGGACGGAAGACGCACGUGCAGAUGCACACACACACACACUGCAACACGUUGGGGUGAAACAUUUACAUUUAUAUCGAAAUAUGCACUAAACAGAGCGAGUUCUACCAGCUGAUGCCUUUUUUUUUUUUCUUUUUUUUUUUUUCUUUUUUUUUUUUUGCCAAAGCAGGAUCACAAAUUUCUUCCUGGGAAGGUUCAAGUCAGCGAGCAGUGAUGGGGCAGCUGCUGAUCCACGUACGCAGGCUUUGCUCCUCGCAGCUCCCCAUCACGCCUGCAAUGCUCUCCCCCCUCUGCUCAGUAUGAGACUCUUGCUGUCCUUUCACAUCUUUUCUUCUCCGCUGCAAUAAAUACAAAACUCGGCGAUGCUCGCAGGUCACAGCACAGACAAGACACCAGGCUUCAGCACAGAACUGAGCAAUGCAGCUAGGUUGUUUACAGAAGGAAAAGGCCUCAAAGGGCCACUUCUCUCACAGCCAGCCAUUAACAAUGACGCAGUUCAUGCUGGCUGGGCAGAGGCGGCCCAACCCCGAUCCCAGGGGACAUCGGUCACCCAGGGCUGCAAGUGAAGCUUUCCUGCACUUCUGACAGCGAGGCACUCAUUUUCGGUGCCUGCUCAGUGAAAAGGAACAAUCCCUGCCUGCCCCCACACAAAACCCCUCCAUGUGAAGCAGGACAGUUCAUUACUAAACAGCCACAAAUAGAGCUGAAGUCUCAGACACAAAGCUGCCCUUUCUUUGUCCAUCGGUCAUAACCAGCAACGAUGAAGGUAGCAGAGGGCUGUGAACACUGAAGCAAGCACAGAACAUGGCAUCUUAGCACACCAAGCUUAAGCAGAGAGCCAGCAGGGUCACACUGCAGUCAUGAACCUGCUAAACCUCUCACACCACACAGCGCCCCACCAAGAGCAGCUGACUCAGGGCAGGACACAGCCCCAGCUGUACGGGUGCUUAGGUAAGAAGUUACAGCUUUUCUGUUGGAGAACACGUUACUGUCAGCCAGCAUCUCUUCAACCAAACGUUGUGACAGCAGGGAGCAAAGCAGGGAUGCAUAGGUUCAGCUACCACACUGCCUUAUUACAAAAGCUGCAAAGUUCACAGGGAGCAGAUUUGGGUUUUAACCCUUCUCCCAAAGGAGGGCGUGAGGAGGGGGAGGGGGGUAGUAGAACUUUUCCCCAAGAAUCCUCCACUGCAGCCUAUUUUUAACACUUUACACUUUCUUACACCAACUUCUCCAGCGAGCAUCUAACCAGAAGUGUGAACAACAUUACCUUAAAGCCCCUCUGCAAGGCAGCAGGGCUGCAGAGCACACAGGCCUGGGAGCAGCGCAUGCUCAGCCUGCUUUGGGGUGAGACAGCCAUCCCUCCUCUACUACAGCACUCUGGUAUUUAUUUCUGGGAAGUGGAAAGCUUCAUCCUUCCUUCAUCUGUGUGUAGAUCACAUAUACUGGAAACAAAACACAAACUAUGCAUGCAAUCCAGGCAGAAACCCUGCUAUGAUCAAAUCUACAGGAACAGGGGAAUGUAGUGGGGACGUAAAAGUAUUCCUUAAUGCUAGAUUAUAGACUGCAUUAAACACCAGCACCCUUUGUUAUAAAAAAGGGCAAACAGACUAUAUACAGCACCUACGUACUUUCAUUGCAGCAGGGCACAGCAAGCAACCUGGACACCUAAACACCCCUCCUUAAGAACAGAGCAGGAAGUGCCUGCUCCAAAGCCACCGUUCCUCUCCAAUUUACCUGCCGAGAUGAGCACGUGUGGCUGCAGAUUCCUCAUACACUGAAAGAAGUGCAGAGAUCUGUGCUGGCAGCUCUCCAUCAGCUUAGCACGCUGCAAACCACUGCAGUGUUUGCACAGUGCUGCAAGCUCCAGCUCUGGUAGGUAAGCCAAGGAAGAACAGACUUCAUUUAAAAUUGUUUUAUUUGCAAGUAUGUUUAUCUGUUCCCCUAGGGCUCUGCGUUUAGGGUCCAAAACGGUUUCUUUCUGAAUAAAGAGAAGCUUUCAUUGGAGAUGAAAGGCUAUUUUCCCAUUAGUAGGCUAUAACCAGCUCAUAAAAAAAAAACAAAACAAAAA